ensembl:lncRNA
GUUGCCAUCUGUCAGCUGAAAUGUUCUGCACAUUCACUGUUUGCUCAGCAUAACACAGACCAGUAGUAUUUGUCAGUAUGAGUUCCUGCACUGUGCCAAGAUAUGUGGUAAUCACCCACUGAAUGGUACCUUUCUAAAAGAGGCAGUGUUGUCUUAAACCACUUCAAAGUGAGCUCAAAAGCUUGCCUUUCUGUUCUGUGGUGUCUUCACAUUCUGACUCCAAAAACAGACAGCUUUUCUUUAAAAAUUCAGACCAUAUUAACUCUAUAAGAAGUAAAUACUUGUAACUGUGUUGCUCAGUUCAGGCUUUGUGACCUUGCCAGCUGCAAUCUGAAGACAUUUGUCAGAAUUCUAGUGCUAUAUAUUUUUCAUCACUUGCAGUAUUUCACCAGUGGCAUUAACCAGUUGGCAAUUUUCUCUCCAGUUCAUUUAUUUAUGGCAAAUCUGAAGGGAAAACAUUUGGUACCACUGUCCCUGAGAUCUCAAAUGCCACAAGCACAUGGAGGGAAUUAAACAAUAUCAGUGACUGGAAGUGGGAUUGUGAAAUAAUCCUCACCACAAUUAACAGCCUGGGACAACUGUAAAUUUUUCCAGCAAAGAAAAAGGCGACAAAACAAGAAGAAAUUGGCUUCAUAAAAAUCCUUAUGGUAGCCUUAGUUCUCAGUUGUUUAAACCACUGAAAUUUUGAUGAGAGAAUGAAGAUGUCACAAAACGUUGGGGAUCAGCAGACUUAUGGAUCGUCAUUCUUGUAGCAGCACCUGAAAUGAUGGGGUCUCCUUCAGAGCUACAUGAUGGUGCAGCUUUGCCAGUGGACUGGGAGAAGAUGGCACCUGAAGUGCAUUUCAUGUUCCAGUUGGGAGAAAAUUCAGAACAGAGAAGAAAGGAAUGCAAGUAUACAUCUUUCAAAUCUGACACUGAUGAGUUAUUUAAAUCAAUACUUGCCUGUCAAAAAUUAAAUUCAUGAGGGAACUUUUAAGAACACGUUCUGCCAAAUGAGAGGACCUAUAGCUGCUAUCAUCCUUCAAGAAUGACACUUGAAUUUUAUCUAAUUGUAAUACUUCCAUGUUUAAUUACUAAGUGUAACAUCACAUGCUCAUCGACAAAUAAAGAUUAAAA